rnacentral:rRNA from 1 species
UACGAAGGGGGCUAGCGUUGCUCGGAAUCACUGGGCGUAAAGCGCACGUAGGCGGAUUGUUAAGUCAGGGGUGAAAUCCUGGAGCUCAACUCCAGAACUGCCUUUGAUACUGGCGAUCUCGAGUCCGGGAGAGGUGAGUGGAACUGCGAGUGUAGAGGUGAAAUUCGUAGAUAUUCGCAAGAACACCAGUGGCGAAGGCGGCUCACUGGCCCGAGUACUGACGCUGAGGCACGAAAGCGUGGGGAGCAAACAGGG